rnacentral:sRNA from 1 species
AUCUGCACUGAAUCUUCUCUUCAUGCAACAUAUCAUCUAAAACUUUGUAAUGCACAACAAGGUCAAAACUUUCCUGAAUACGUAAAAUUACGAUUUCCUUUCACUAUGCGUAAACCAUCAAGAAUGUCAGUGCUGUCCAAAUGGUAAUGAAUGGAAGGAGAAUUGAAGACAUCACUCUUGUUGAAGCAUUUGGCAGCCAUGGAUAUGCAUCUGGUGGUGGCAUCACACAGUUGUCACCAUUGAAGUAUACACGUCUUGGGAAGGCCCAGCCUUUCUCAAAGGUGAAACUCUUGGGGUCCUUCUUGAACAGAAGCUCAGACUGAACAUUUCCAUCUGGACCCGCCGUCAUGAGCAAGUCAUUGUAGUACUUGAUUCCCCAUAACAUCGCGGGCUUACUUAUUACUCCAUAUGGGUUCAAAGAUUUGUAGUUGAAGCUGAAAAUGGUUGUCAGAUUGUCAAAACUGGGGUGCUGAGUGACUAGGUUCCACUGAGAGUAGUUCAUCCUGUAAUUGAAGUUUGUCACUGUGAUCUUGACCCUCCAGUACUCCUUGUAGUUAACCUUCACAUGCCAAUGAACUCUUAUUGGGCACAUAUGAGAAGUGCACUGGACUAGAGGUGUCAAGCUGUCCUUGUUAUGGGUGUUCACAACAGAAGCCAAAUAAGGAGAAUUUCCCCUGACACAGCUUCCUGGUUUAUUAUUCUGGCAGCCACAUGAGCAUGUUGGGCAGUUAACUAUGGUAUCAUUGUAAAAAGACGAGAGCGAAACGCAGCACGUCGGAGAUCUUUGCGCGACAAUCUGUGAAUAUGUGCAAGUCACAUUCCAUGUCAUGUGAGCCUGAGUUGUUCUCCUUCCAUCCUGCGAAAAAAACUUGGUAGGUCUCACAACCUUGGCACUGCCACAGGUAUACCCUGGACCUGGAGAUUUCAGGGUGAAAUUUCUCGGCACCCGCACCGUCUUGUUCGUCGUCCCUGCCUGACCAACACUGACUUGGAAUGAUGCUAUGGCAUUUGCAGGGUCCUGUGCCCACGAGUUGAGCACUCCUCCCUUGCAGCAGUUGGCAAUCUGCAUGUUGUAAGGGGUUCCCGGGAGCAGGUCCACGAUCUCAGGAUCUUUCUUGCAGCAAUGUGGGAUAUUUGAUUUGAACUUUGAGCAGUCGCCUUGCUCCGUCGCUUGGCCGCCGUUCAUCGCCCAGAUUAUCUCCUUCUUUGCCCACACCCAUCCGAGUUUCCAUCCGGGUGAUUGAAUGUGUCGAUACUGCUGAUAGUUGUAUAGUUUACUCACAACAUAUCCAUCUGGAGUCCAUUGCAGCACAUCCCACUUGAUUGUUAUGUUCCCAUUUGGAUCAAGCGGAUCGUAUGCCUCUG